rnacentral:misc_RNA from 1 species
AACGCACAUUGCGCCCCUUGGUAUUCCGAGGGGCAUGCCUGUUCGAGCGUCAUUACACCAAUCCAGCACGGCUUGGUAUUAGGCCUUCGUCCCCCGACAGGGGGGCAUGCCUCAAAACCUUCGGCGAAGUCACACCGGCUUUGGGCGUAGUAGAAAUAAAACGUCCUGCGGGCCGCACGAGUCUUCCGCCGUCAAACCACAAACAUAUCACCAGGUUGACCUCGGAUCAGGUAGGGAUACCCGCUGAACUUAA